AGAUACUAUUCAGCUUUUAUGCUGAUUCAUCAGCUCACAGUGAAACGAGCUUGCAUGAGAGCAUCCCAGGACCACUGAACAUUCAGAGGGCUGGAGGCAGAGAAAAACUUCCCCUACUCAAGAAAAAGAAGCUAUUUUUGUCAAGUUAAAUGAGCCUGAACCUGCAGAGCUGAAUUGGCAGAUGAAUAUUGCUAAUUGGUGCAGUUUCUUCGGUGCAGGAAAGAGUUUCCAAUCAGACCGGCAAUUCAUUGGCCACAUGAAGAACAGCCAGUUGUAAGGGGUAAAAUAAAUUGGAGAAGAGAACAUCCACAUGGAUUAAGUCCCAAGCUCACCCUUUGUUAGUGAGAAUGUAGUCACGUGGCCAUACCUACUACAAGGUCUAUUUCUGGCAUCUCUUUCCACAGCACAGGCAGCCUUGCAGAAUGAAAAGUAUUUCUCCCACCUGCCCUGGCCUCUGCCCUGGCUCUGAAAGAGGCAGGCUGUGAAUGAUGGUUGUCAGUGUCUGGAGUUUUCACUGAAAAACAGUCCCCUGAAAUGGAAAGACACACAGAGGGGAGUGAUCUCAUCGCCACUGAUUUUUCCCAACUUUCAGUUUUGUAUCUCCAUGGUGGAACUCGAUACAGCAGCAUCCCUCAGUGGUUCCAGCCCAGAAGUGCAAGGGGAAGCCGGCUGCCUGUUCAUGAAUUCUGUAGCUCAAAAAGCAGAGGCCGAGAAAGCAAAAUUUCAAACCUUUGUCAGAAAGGGUGAGACCUUGCUCAGCACGAUAGCUGAGAACAGCUUCCUCCUUCAAUGCUGGUCUCUCUAUACUGACAGUUGACAGCUGAUGAUCCCACAUUCUCAGUCAUGCGAAUGACCUCACCUGAGCACCAGUUUGUAACGGAUGUUUAAGAGGAAAGCAAGGGAAUUAAAUGCUGCACAGGAAUUUGGCACUUCUGUAUAGAAAUAGAAAAACUAAAUGAAACUUAUAGUACCUUCCACUCAACUAAGAUUCUUGUGAAGCAAAGUAUAUCUGGGAAAAUAUAGUAAUAUGGUUAUUUUGUGUUCAUAGUGUGUGACUCUACUUAUAAGCACUUUUUAAUCAUUAUAAUCAAUCACUUUAAAGAUCUUAGAGGGAACUUAUUAAUCAAAAUUUAAGCCUUCUUUAAAAAAAAAAAACUUCCCAUAUACUAAUUUUGCACAGAAGCAAAAGAUUAGAUUGGGAUUCUGCCUGUUGUGGAGAGACAAAGACAAGAGUGCUCCAGAAAAAA
rnacentral:lncRNA from 1 species